rnacentral:rRNA from 1 species
GAUGAACGCUAGCGGCAGGCCUAACACAUGCAAGUCGAGGGGUAAGAAGAGCUUGCUUUUCUGAGACCGGCGCACGGGUGCGUAACGCGUAUACAAUCUAACUUGUACAGGGGGAUAGACCAGAGAAAUUUGGAUUAAUACCUCAUAGUGUUAUUGAGUGGCAUUACUUGAUAACUAAAGUUACAACGGUACAAGAUGAGUAUGCGUUCCAUUAGUUAGAUGGUAAGGUAACGGCUUACAAUGACAAUGAUGGGUAGGGGUCCUGAGAGGGAGAGCCGCCACACUGGUAUUUAGGCACGGACCAGACUCUACCGGAAGGCUGCAGUAGGGAAUAUUGGACAAUGGGGGCAAUCCUGAUCCAGCCUUGCCGAGUGCAGGAUGACGGUCCUAUGGAUGGUAAACUGCUUUUAUACAGGAAGAACCCCUUCUUUGCGAAGAAGACUGACGGUACUGUAAGAAUAAGGAUCGGCUAACUCCGUGCCAGCAGCGGCCGUAACAC